rnacentral:rRNA from 1 species
GACGAACGCUGGCGGCGUGCUUAACACAUGCAAGUCGAACGGGAUCCAGGCUCAGGUGUGCGGUUUCGGCCAAUCACCUCUGGAUCGAGUGGCGAACGGGUGAGUAACACGUGGACAACCUGCCCUGGAGACCAGGAUAACCCGGGGAAACCCGGGCUAAUACCGGAUAUCCUGCCUUUCCCGCAUGGCAUCGGCAGAAAAGGGAUAGCUUGCGUUCUGCUCCAGGAGGGGUCCGCGGCCCAUUAGCUUGUCGGUGGGGUAACGGCCUACCGAGGCGACGAUGGGUAGCCGGCCUGAGAGGGUGGUCGGUCACACUGGGACUGAGAUACGGCCCAGACUCCUACGGGAGGCAGCAGUGGGGAAUAUUGCGCAAUGGGCGAAAGCCUGACGCAGCGACGCCGCGUGGGUGAGGAAGGCCUUCGGGUUGUAAAUCCCUGUCAGGGGGGAUGAAGCGAGAGUGACGGUACCCCCAGAGGAAGCCCCGGCCAACUACGUGCCAGCAGCCGCCGUAACAC